GGCGAGCGGGUGAGUAACACGUGAGUAACCUGCCCUUGACUUUGGGAUAACUUCAGGAAACUGGGGCUAAUACCGGAUAGGAGCUCCUGCUGCAUGGUGGGGGUUGGAAAGUUUCGGCGGUUGGGGAUGGACUCGCGGCUUAUCAGCUUGUUGGUGGGGUAGUGGCUUACCAAGGCUUUGACGGGUAGCCGGCCUGAGAGGGUGACCGGCCACAUUGGGACUGAGAUACGGCCCAG
rnacentral:rRNA from 1 species